rnacentral:misc_RNA from 1 species
AAAAAAAAAAAAAAAAAAACUUUGUCCUUUUAAAGAUAACCACUUCGUCUUUAGAGGGAAAGAUCAAAAAGAAAACGAGCUUUAUCCAAACAAAACCAACUCGGACCAAUUCUCAAGGGGAUUGAAGAGCAAAGGGAGCUCUGUUUAAGCCCUACAAUGGGAUCUCUAGAGAAAGCAGUGUUACAGUUCUUUUGGCACCAAGCAAAAAUAAGAAAAGAAAAAAGCAAGCUUUGACGGGCAACUGUCGAUGACUGCUUUCACAUCUGAAUUCACAUCUUUCUGUAUAUUCCAAAACUGUAAAUUAUAUGAGAAAAAGGAAUAUACAAAAAGGAAAAUUCAAAAUUAUAAAGCAAAAAAGAAAAGAAAAUAAAAGAAAAAAAAAUUUGAAAGCUCUUCUUCCCGUAGCUCACUUUCAUUCUCCCUCUCCCUCACCCAAAACCUCCAUUAAAGCUCAUUUUGAGCUUGAUCAAAUCCCU